GUGGGGAAUAUUGGACAAUGGGCGAAAGCCUGAUCCAGCCACGCCGCGUGUGUGAUGAAGGCCUUCGGGUCGUAAAGCACUGUGGGGAGGGAAGAACAGGUAGGGAGCUAAUAUCUCCCUAUUCAGACGGUACCUCCUUAGCAAGCACCGGCUAACUCCGUGCCAGCAGCCGCGGUAAUACGGAGGGUGCAAACGUUGCUCGGAAUCAUUGGGCGUAAAGCGCGUGUAGGCGGCUUGUUAAGUCGGGUGUGAAAGCCCUGGGCUCAACCCAGGAAGUGCGCCCGAAACUGGCGAGCUAGAGUACGGGAGAGGGUAGUGGAAUUCCCGGUGUAGAGGUGAAAUUCGUAGAUAUCGGGAGGAACACCAGUGGCGAAGGCGGCUACCUGGACCGAUACUGACGCUGAGACGCGAAAGCGUGGGUAGCAAACAGGAUUAGAUACCCGAGUAGUCC
rnacentral:rRNA from 1 species